GACGAACGCUGGCGGCGUGCUUAACACAUGCAAGUCGAACGGAUCAUUUCAUUUCGGUGGGGUGGUUAGUGGCGAACGGGUGAGUAACGCGUAGACAACCUACCUCUCAGAUGGGGACAACAUCGCGAAAGCGGUGCUAAUACCGAAUGAUGUAAUUUUUCUGCAUGGAAGAGUUACCAAAGGCGGCCUCUAUUUAUAAGCUGUCACUGAGAGUUGGGUCUGCGUCUGAUUAGCUGGUUGGCGGGGUAAUGGCCCACCAAGGCGACGAUCAGUAGCCGGUCUGAGAGGAUGAACGGCCACAUUGGGACUGAGACACGGCCCAAACUCCUACGGGAGGCAGCAGUGGGGAAUCUUCCGCAAUGGACGAAAGUCUGACGGAGCAACGCCGCGUGAGUGAAGAAGGUUUUCGGAUCGUAAAGCUCUGUUGUUUGAGACGAACGUGCAAUUUUUGAAUAAGGAAUUGUAAUGACGGUAUUAAACGAGAAAGCCACGGCUAACUACGUGCCAGCCGCCGCGGUAACAC
rnacentral:rRNA from 1 species